CCUACGGGCGGCUGCAGUGGGGAAUAUUGGACAAUGGGGGCAACCCUGAUCCAGCCAUGCCGCGUGUGUGAAGAAGGCCCUCGGGUUGUAAAGCACUUUCAGUGAGGAAGAACGCCUGGUGGUUAAUACCCAUCAGGAAAGACAUCACUCACAGAAGAAGCACCGGCUAACUCCGUGCCAGCAGCCGCGGUAAUACGGAGGGUGCGAGCGUUAAUCGGAAUUACUGGGCGUAAAGCGCGCGUAGGUGGCUUGAUAAGCCGGUUGUGAAAGCCCCGGGCUCAACCUGGGAACGGCAUCCGGAACUGUCAAGCUAGAGUGCAGGAGAGGAAGGUAGAAUUCCCGGUGUAGCGGUGAAGUGCGUAGAGAUCGGGAGGAAUACCAGUGGCGAAGGCGGCCUUCAGGACUGACACUGACACUGAGGUGCGAAAGCGUGGGUAGCAAACAGGAUUAGAUACCCUAGUAGUC
rnacentral:rRNA from 1 species